rnacentral:rRNA from 1 species
CCUACGGGAGGCAGCAGUCGAGAAUUUUUCACAAUGGGGGAAACCCUGAUGGAGCGACGCCGCGUGGGGGAUGAAAGGCUUUGGUCUGUAAACCCCUGUCAUCUGUGAUCAAUGUGCGGGUUUUAACAAAAUCCAGCACUGAUAGUAACAGAAGAGGAAGAGACGGCUAACUCUGUGCCAGCAGCCGCGGUAAUACAGAGGUCUCAAGCGUUGUUCGGAUUUACUGGGCGUAAAGGGUGUGUAGGUGGAUGAAAAAGUUAACUGUGAAAUCUUAGAGCUCAACUCUAAAACUGCAUUUAAUACUUUUUAUCUAGAGUAACAGAGGGGAAAUUGGAAUUCUCGGUGUAGCAGUGAAAUGCGUAGAUAUCGAGAGGAACACCAGUGGCGAAGGCGAAUUUCUGGCUGUUUACUGACACUGAGGCACGAAAGCUAAGGGAGCAAACGGGAUUAGAUACCCCAGUAGUC